AUUGAACGCUGGCGGCAGGCCUAACACAUGCAAGUCGAGCGGAUGAAGGGAGCUUGCUCCUGGAUUCAGCGGCGGACGGGUGAGUAAUGCCUAGGAAUCUGCCUGGUAGUGGGGGAUAACGUCCGGAAACGGGCGCUAAUACCGCAUACGUCCUGAGGGAGAAAGUGGGGGAUCUUCGGACCUCACGCUAUCAGAUGAGCCUAGGUCGGAUUAGCUAGUUGUUGGGGUAAAGGCCUACCAAGGCGACGAUCCGUAAAUGGUCUGAGAGGAUGAUCAGUCACACUGGAACUGAGACACGGUCCAGACUCCUACGGGAGGCAGCAGUGGGGAAUAUUGGACAAUGGGCGAAAGCCUGAUCCAGCCAUGCCGCAUGUGUGAAGAAGGUCUUCGGAUUGUAAAGCACUUUAAGUUGGGAGGAAGGGCAGUAAGUUAAUACCUUGCUGUUUUGACGUUACCAACAGAAUAAGCACCGGCUAACUUCGUG
rnacentral:rRNA from 1 species